rnacentral:tRNA from 1 species
GCUGAGGUGGCGGAGUGGCCAAUCGCACGAGACUGUAAAUCUCGCGCCCGUACGGGCUACCUAGGUUCGAAUCCUAGCCUCAGCACUA